rnacentral:rRNA from 1 species
GAUGAACGCUAGCGGCAGGCCUAAUACAUGCGAGUCGAGGGAGAAUGUUGGAUUCGUCUGACAUGAAACCGGCGCACGGGUGCGUAACACGUAUGCAACCUACCUUUAACUGGGGUAUAGCUCAGAGAAAUCUGAAUUAAUCCCCCAUAAGACUACGACAUGGCAUCAUGAUGUAGUUAAAGCUCCGGCGGUUAAGGAUGGGCAUGCGGUACAUUAGCUAGUUGGUGAGGUAAUGGCUCACCAAGGCUACGAUGUAUAGGGGGUCUGAGAGGAUGAUCCACCACACUGGUACUGAGACACGGACCAGACUCCUACGGGAGGCAGCAGUAGGGAAUAUUGGUCAAUGGACGCAAGUCUGAACCAGCCAUGCCGCGUGAAGGAUGAAGGCCCUAUGGGUCGUAAACUUCUUUUAUUAGGGAAGAAAAAACGGGAUGCGUCCUGUACUGACGGUACUUAAUGAAUAAGGAUCGGCUAACUUCGUGCCAGCAGCCGCGGUAA